rnacentral:rRNA from 1 species
CUGGGAUUAGAUACCCUGUUAUUUAAAAUGUAAUUAUAAAUAUACUUGAGUAGUAAUAGUUAUGUUCUUUAAACUUAAAAAAUUUGGCGGUAUUUUAGUCUAUUCAGAGGAACUUGUUUUAUAAUCGAUAAUCCACGAUGUACCUUACUUAAUGUUAUUAAUUAGUUUGUAUACCGUCGUUAUUGAAAAUUUUAUAAGAAUAAUAAUUUUCAAUUAUUUUUAUUAAAAUUAAUGUCAGAUCAAGGUGCAGCUUAUGAUUAAGCAAUAAUGAGUUACAAUAAAUUUUAUUUAUGUGGAUAUAAAUAUGAAAAAAUUAUUGAAAUUGGAUUUGAUAGUAAAAUUAAAUAGAUUAUUAAUUUGAUUUUAGCUCUAAAAUAUGCACAAAUCGCCCGUCACUC